rfam:Oryctolagus cuniculus chromosome 2, whole genome shotgun sequence.
GGUGCUGUGGCUCAGUGGGUUAAAGCCCUGGCCUGCAGUGUCAGCAUCCCAUAUGGGUGCUGGUUCAAGUCCUGGCUGCCCCA